rnacentral:rRNA from 1 species
GAUGAACGCUGGCGGCGUGCCUAAUACAUGCAAGUCGAGCGAACGGACGAGACGCUUGCUUCUCUGAUGUUAGCGGCGGACGGGUGAGUAACACGUGUAUAAUCUACCUAUAAGACUGGGAUAUCUUCGGGAAACCGGAGCUAAUACCGUAUAAUAUUUUGAACCGCAUGGUUCAAAAGUGAAAGACGGUCUUGCUGUCACUUAUCGAUGGAUCUGCGCUGCAUUAGCUAGUUGGUAAGGUAACGGCUUAACAAGGGAACGAUGCAUAGCCGACCUGCUGGGCGGGUCGGCCGCACGAGAGCUGGAACGCGCUCAAGGCGCCUACGGGAGGGAGCAGUAGCGAAACUUCCGCAGUAGUCGAAAGCCUGACACAGCGACCCCGCGGGAGUGAUAGAAAUCUUCGGAGCGUAAAGCCCUGCUAUGAGGGAUGAACAUAUGUGUAAGUAGCUGAGAACAUCUUGACGGUACCUAGUCAGAAAGCCCCGGCUAACUACGUG